rfam:Monodelphis domestica chromosome X, whole genome shotgun sequence.
GCGGGCACUUGGCAGCCUUGUGAUGUCACACAGAGAAGUCACGGGGUCUGUAGGCUGC